GACGAACGCUGGCGGCGGGCUUAACACAUGCAAGUCGAACGGAAAGGCCCUGCUUUGGUUGGGUUCUCGAGUGGCGAACGGGUGAAUAACACGUGAGUGAGCUUCCCAUGAGUUUAGGACAUCUGCAGAAAACUGCGGCUAAUACAGUAUUGCAGCUUGUGCUGCAUGGUGGGGGUCGGAAAGUUUCGGCGGUUGUGGAUGGACUCGCGGCUUAUGAGCUUGUUUGGCGGGUAGUGGAUGAAAAAGGCUUUCACGGGUAGCCGGCCUGGGAGGGUGACCGACCACAUUGGGACUGAGCUACGGCCCAGACUCGUACGGGAGGCAGGAGUGGGGAAUAUUGCCUAAUGGGCGGAAGUCUGAUGCAGCAACGCCGCGUGCGGGAUGAAGGCCUUCGUGUUGUAAACCGCUUUCGGCUGUGACGGUGCGUUUGUGACGGUACUGGGUAAAGAAGCACCGGCUAACUACGUG
rnacentral:rRNA from 1 species